rnacentral:rRNA from 1 species
GACAAACGCUGGCGGCGUGCCUAAAACAUGCAAGUCGGACGGCCCGCGAGGGCAGUGGCAGACGGCUGAGGAACGCGUAGGAACCUGCCCUCCAGUGGGGGAUACCGGUCCGAAAGGGCCGUUAAUCCCGCAUACGGUCCCGGGGGGACCCGGGAAGAAAGCCUUGGGCGCUGGAGGAGGGGCCUGCGUCCGAUUAGCUGGUUGGUAGGGUAACGGCCUACCAAGGCGAUGAUCGGUAGCUGGUCUGAGAGGAUGGCCAGCCAGACUGGGACUGAGA